CCUCCAUGCUGCCAAGAAAAGCCUCUAGCGAGCUUCGAGCGGCCCGUACCCCAAACCGACACAGGUGGUCAGGUAGAGAAUACCGAGGCGAUCGGGCGAACUGUGGUUAAGGAACUCGGCAAAUUACCCCCGUAACUUCGGGAGAAGGGGGGCCACAGACUGUCAUACCCCACGCGGGUGGCAGCAGUAGGUGGCCGCAGAGACCAGGGGGAAGCGACUGUUUACUAAAAACACAGGUCCGUGCGAAGUCGUAAGACGAUGUAUACGGACUGACGCCUGCCCGGUGCUGGAACGUUAAGGGGACCGGUUAGUCCGCAAGGGCGAAGCUGAGAACUUAAGCGCCAGUAAACGGCGGUGGUAACUAUAACCAUCCUAAGGUAGCGAAAUUCCUUGUCGGGUAAGUUCCGACCUGCACGAAUGGCGUAACGACUUCCCUACUGUCUCAACCACAGGCCCGGCGAAAUUGCACUACGAGUAAAGAUGCUCGUUACGCGCGGAAGGACGGAAAGACCCCGGGACCUUCACUAUAGCUUGACAUUGGUAUCCGAAUUUAAUUGUGUAGGAUAGGUGGGAGGCUUUGAUCCGCGGACGCCAGUCCGUCGGGGAGCCAACGUUGAAAUACCACUCUGUUGAAUUUGGGUAUCUAACUUCGGACCGUGAUCCGGUUCAGGGACAGUGUCUGGUGGGUAGUUUAACUGGGGCGGUUGCCUCCUAAAAUGUAACGGAGGCGCCCAAAGGUUCCCUCAGCCUGGUUGGCAAUCAGGUGUUGAGUACAAGUGCACAAGGGAGCUUGACUGUGAGACUGACAGGUCGAGCAGGGACGAAAGUCGGGACUAGUGAUCCGGCACCUGCGAGUGGAAGCGGUGUCGCUCAACGGAUAAAAGGUACCCCGGGGAUAACAGGCUGAUCUUCCCCAAGAGUCCAUAUCGACGGGAUGGUUUGGGCACCUCGAUGUCGGCUCGUCGCAUCCUGGGGCUGGAGUAGGUCCCAAGGGUUGGGCUGUUCGCCCAUUAAAGCGGCACGCGAGCUGGGUUUAGAACGUCGUGAGACAGUUCGGUCCCUAUCCUCCGCGCGCGUAGGAGACUUGAGAAGAGCUGUCCCUAGUACGAGAGGACCGGGACGGACGAACCUCUGGUGUGCCAGUUGUCAUGCCAAUGGCACGGCUGGUUAGCUACGUUCGGAAGGGAUAACCGCUGAAAGCAUCUAAGCGGGAAGCUCGCUUCAAGAUGAGGUCUCCCACCCCUUGAGGGUUAAGGCCCCCAGCUAGACCACUGGGUUGAUAGGCCAGAAGUGUAAGCCUGGUAACAGGUUCAGCCGACUGGUACUAAUAGGCCGAGGACUA
rnacentral:rRNA from 1 species